AUUCUCCCAGUAACGGCGAGUGAACGGAGAUUAGCCCAUCACCGAAGCCUGCGUGUGUUUGCAUGCUAGGCAAUGUGGUGUUAAGGUGUGUACCUGGGAUCGUGUACCUACCCGAAGUCUAAAUCCGAUUGUGGCUUUGGAUUCAUUCCAUAGCGGGUGAAAGUCCCGUGCGGGUAGGCCUAUUGCAAAUCCACACGAUCCUCAGAUGUGCAUGCUAUCGAGUCGGAUUGCUUGAGAAUGCAGUCCAAAGUGGGUGGUAAACUCCAUCCAAGGCUAAAUACUGGCACGAGUCCGAUAGUAGACAAGUACCGUGAGGGAAAGUUGAAAAGUACUCUGAAGAGAGAGUAAAUAGUACGUGAAGCCGAUUGCAGGGAAGCUGGUGGAGUCAAGCUUCGUGCUUGAGGGAUUGAUGCUGGGAGCAGGUGUGUGAAUUGUAUGUGAGAUUGGACAACUUGGAAUAAGUUGGGCGUGUUCUGAACGCGCUUCGAGUCAUUCCGGGUAGAGUGUUAUGAGCCAUUCUCGCUUUACUACUCUCAGUGUUGUAUCCCUCGCUGCACAGGCCACAGUCAAUAGGUGCAUGCAGUGUGAAGGCCUAACUGUGCUUCGGCGGGUGCAAGCUCUCCGGGUGCAGGAUGGCAGGUGCUGUCCUCAGGCCUUGUGUCUGUUGAUAGUUGUUGUGGUUUCGACCGGCUGGUCUCCAUACUGUAUUGUGCUUAUUGCCUAUCAAUGGCGCAGUUUCCUUGGAAG
rnacentral:rRNA from 1 species